GAGGGGAAAAGCGAGCAGUAACCUCGGUGCUUGACACUAGCAAACUCGGCGUUCCAUUUAACCACUGUGUAUUUUCCUCGUCUGUGGGCUUCUUUGGCUGCUGCGUCAACUGAAGUGUUCUGAGGGAUGUUAGUGUGUCCGGGAAUGUAGUGAGCCUCUACAGUUCCUAGAUGUUGAUUUUGUUGAAUCUUUUCUAUGAUUUUGUAGGCGAUAGAUGCGAUAUUUGCCGAUAUUAAUUUUUAUAUUAUUCCAGAUCCCAUAUACGGUUAAUAAUUAUUUCUCUGGACGUGGACGUGGUGGCAUCGCUCGUGGAGCCUUUGGUGAUGGAGGCGCCAAUGGACGUGGAGCCCGUGGACGCGGAACCCCUGGAGGCGGCAACGCUGGGGGACGCGUUAUCUCUGGAGGCAACAACGCUGGGGUACGCGGACGACGCGGAGAUGGACAUAUCAGUAGGCGUAUGCGUAGGACCAUUGCGUCCAUCGUCCGUGCCGUGGGGCGCCAAGCUCCACAAAUCGCUGCCCCAGGAGCUGCCCAGGAGUUGCCGCAGAAGCUGCCCCAGAAGCAGAUGCAGAUGCCCCACCGGGUCCGGCCGAUUGCACUUGUGCAAUCUGCCCUAUUCUAAUUAUUAAUCUUCUCAUUUGGCUUGGGUACGGCUAGGGCUCUAGGGCUCUGGAAAGCACGGAAUAGCCGAGCAACAGCGUUUGUUUUUGGGAGUGCCCUGUGACAUCAGGACUUACUGUUAUUCGAAGCCACUGUAGGCAGACGCACAAGGCACUUUUGCUCAUGCAACAGUAGCAUAAGCAAACGAGUAUCGUUCCAAUUGCUCAAUUCCAGCUAGAUAGAACUUUCAACCAUGCCCACAUAAUUUUAUCCGAUUGAUAUAUACUGUAAGUGGUCACCCUUCUGUCGUGUCGUGCCCUGUAAAAGGCAUUGGUCGUUUAUGUUUAAAUUUUAAAAUCAAAUUCAAAGAUAAAGUAGCCUUUUCACUAUAUACUUCGCUAACGAUCCCAAAUUUUGUCAACUCGCCUUCAGUAGCAAACAAUAUCUCAUUCGAUAAAGUCUAAAAAAAAAUUAUUCAACAAAAUGCAAAGAAAUUUGUUACUUUCCUUGCGCCCGUUGCUCCGGCGGUCCCAAGUGCUGUCUCCGCUGCAUGCGACCCCGUGGCUGGUUGCGACCCCGCAGGUGUUUGCGACCCCGCGGCUGUUUCAAACUGGUUCCCUGAUGCAGGCUCAGAAGAAAAUCAAGGGCAAGCUCUCGCCGAAGAUAGCCAAGCUGCAGAGGCAAUUUCAGGAGAACAAUGGAAAGCCGGUGUUCCUCAAGGGCGGACCCAUGGACAACAUUCUAUAUAGGCUGACUUGGGUCCUAGCCUUCAUAGGCAUCUUGGGCGAUGUCUGGCUUUGGCUUGGAUAUAUAAUAUAUAAUUAACGUAUAUAAACGAGUUACACAUACAGAUACACACAAAACAAAUAGUCAACACAAGUACCGCGACACUUAAUUCAACCUUUUCUGCACCACAUCCCUCCCAAAUUCAACAUGUAACACUAAAUCAUACAAAAUCGUCGUGUUUUCUGCGCCACAUCCCUCCCCAAAAGUAACAUGUGACAUUAAAUCAAAAGAAAUAUUCCCGUUUUCUGCUGCUAUUAUUCCCGGCUAGAAUAAACAAAUUGGGUUUCGAUAA